AUGCGCCCCAUAUGCUCCACAAAUGCUCAAGCAUGUGCUUAAUGGGCUUCUAUUUUUUGUCUUUCCUAAAUGGGUCACUUUUUGGCCUAUAUGAUGUAAUAACUUAGCCUAGACUAUCAAUAGGACGUCUUUUCAUUUUAGUAAGUAGUUAUUGAUGAAUUAUGAAUGUAAACACUUGUGAAAGUGUGAGGCAAGCUUGGAUUAGCUUGUGGCAAGCGUGGAAUCGCUUGUGUUGAUUCAUCGUUUAGAAACGUGGGUUGCUCGGGAAUCCAAUUCCCUUGAGGUCUACGUAGGAGAUUAGGUGCUUUGUGUGACAUUGAAUAGAGCGUUUAGGGUUUGAUACACUCUUUAUUUGUUAUUCAUUCAUCCAUUGUGUCUAUCUAUUAUUUGAUCUCUAUCUAUCCUUACCUUUUGUUUUCGUAUCGUAGUUUAGUUUUCGAUUCCGUACUUUGUUCGUAUAUCAGAUAUUAACUCAAAUAAGGAUUGAUAGUGUUUAUGACAAAGAACUACUUUUUUUUAGAAAAGGGUAACUUCGUAUUCACACGAAAAAAUCAUCAUCCAAAAAACGAUGAAUUGGAAACUUAAAUCCCGCAAAGUGGUGGGCACACCCCAUCAAAGUAUUCUUAUAAGUUUCCUAUAAAAUCCCCUAAUUCUAUUGUCUCCCCUUUCAAUUCUUGUUUACACCCGAAAAAAAAAAGACUUAUACUCUUCAUCUUAAUCUUCUGUAUGUUGGUCUUCUGAUCUUCUAAGGACCCCUACCAUUCCUUUCUCUCCACAAGGUCCACCAUAUGCAUGCUGGAAUUGUUCUCCACCAAUCUUCUUCUCUCCCUCUUUUACCAAUUCCCGAACAGUUCUCCAGCAACUCUAGGGUUGUAUUAGGCAUCACCCAGCUGACUCCUCAAAUGCACAAAAAGAUGUUCCAUAGGCUUGUGGCAGUAUUGCAAUGUAGGAACAAAUGAUUGGUAGCUUCUGCUUCCUUCCUGCUCACACAUAAAGCAUCUAGAACAUAUCUGCCAUCCUCUCUUCUGCAAUGCCUCAUGAGUGAGGCAUGCUUUCCUGCACACUAACCAAGUGAAGCAUGAUACUUCCGGGGGCGUCUGGAUUUCCAAAUUGUCUGCCAAGGCCAUGUGUUUGUUGCUGUCCGGCUAGAAUUGAGCUUCCAGUAGCUUGACUGUGAACUGGCUUUUGCUAUGGAGUUUCCAAGUAGGCUUGUCUGGACUCAUAGAAAUACCACAAAAAGUGCUUAGGAUUCCCAGUAGGCUUGCUACUUGCCCAAUUUCCCAGUCAUUUAGUGCUCUCUUGAAUAGCAAAUUCCAUCCUUGCAGUGUUAACAAAGGCGCGUGUAAGCCCUUAAGUGAGGCUAUACCCAAAGGCAAGACAUUGUAUAGGAAGUGGCCAAGGGCAAGGGCAGCUUAAUGGAAUUUGUGGCCUAAAGCCAAACCUUAACAAACGGCCAUAAAUAUAUAUAUUCCAACAACAAUAACAACAUACCUAAUGUAUUCCCACAAAGUGGGGUCUGGGGAGGGUAAAGUGUACGCAGUCCAUACCACUACCUCAAAUGAAGUAGAGACGUUUCCGAUAGACCCCAGGUCUGGGAUGAAUAACAAUAUAACAAGCAGAAAACAUUAACAACAAACAACAAAAUGGGGUAACACACCACUAGAUAAUGAAAGAAACAAGAAAUCCACCGAGUAAUAUUAUGAACUAUCUAUCCGAAAUCACAAAUAUCACCAAAACAACACGAACAAGAAACCACAGGACACAUGCAUAACAUUAUGACUACAGGUACAUCGACAAACAAAGUACUCCCUACUAGUAAGGACGCACUACUACCUACUAACCCUCUACCCUAUCUGCGUCCUCCACACCGUCCUAUCAAGGGUCAUGUCCUCUGUAAGUUGUAACUGCUCCAUGUCAUGUCUAAUCACUUCCCUUCAAUAUUUCUUCGAACUACCUCUACCCCAUUUGAUACUAUCCAUAGCGAGCCUCUCACAUGGAGCAUUCAUGCACCGCCUCAUCACAAGCCUAAACCAUCUCAACCUCAACUCCCGCAUCUUGUCUUCCACCGAAAUCACUCUCACCUUCUCUCAAAUAACCUCAUUUCUAAUUCUAUCCCUUCUAGUAAGUCCGCACAUCCAUCUCAACAUCCUAAUCUCUGCCACCUUCAACUUUUAAAUAUGGAAGUUUUUAACUGGCCAACACUGCACUCAAUACAACAUAGUCGGUUCGAAGUGCCAUUUUGUCGAACUUACCUUUAAACUUAGGAGGCACCUUCUUAUCACACAAGGCUCUCGAAGCGAGCUAUUUCAACCACCCAGCACCAAUACGGUGCAGGUGCAUGACAUCCUCGUUAAUCUCUCCAUUCCCCUGAAUCAUAGACUCAAAACACUUAAAACUAUCUCUCUUUCGAAUGGCGUGAGAAUCCAGCUUCACUACCACGUCAUCCUCAUACGUCAAAUCACUAUAGUUACACUCCAAGCACUUCGUCUUGGUCCUGCUCACCCUUUCCUUUAGGGGUCUUCUGGUGAGGUAUAAGCCGGAAUAAAAUGUAGGAUUAUUUUAUCCCAUGUUUGGUUGGAGGUAUUAGUUAGCCAAGAGAUUAUUAUCCCACCAUUUAUGCUUUAGUGAUGGGAUAAGUUAUCCCAAACUUUCAUAGUAUGACUCAACAACUAGAUACCCCUAUAGUUGUUGCAACUCUAAAUGUCUCCCUUGUUAUUAUAUAAAGGAAUCAUCGUGCUCCAUUGCCAAGCUUUCGGCAUCUUCAUCGUCCUAAAAAUGAUGUUAAACAACAUUGUCAGCCAUUUCAUCCCUGCCCCACCAGUGCUUUUCCAAAAAUCCACCAGAAUCUCGGCUGACCCAGUCGCCCUACUUAAACGCAUCCUACGAAUAGCACCCUUGACCUCCUCCAACUUAAUACGCCUACAUAACCAUAAUCGUGACACCUCUUUGAGUGCUCCAAGUCCCACAGCACUAAACCUUCGACCCCCUCGUCGUUCGAAAAUCUAUCAAAAUAAGACUGUCACCUCCUCCUAAUGGGGGUGUCAUCCACCAACACUUUGUCAUCCUCAACCCUUAAUGCACUCCACUUGGUCAAGGUCACGGGCCCUCUGCUCCCUAGCCUUGGCAAGCCUAUACAACUUCUUAACCCCACCUUUCUCAUCUAUAGCCGCAUACAAGCUCUCAAAAGUUUGUCUUCGUUGCUGUAACCGCUAACUUAGCCUCUUUACUAGCUAACUUAUACUCCUCCCUAUUUGUCCGCUUCUCCUCGCCAUCCUUGAUCUUAGCCAACUUCGCAUAAGCCACCUUCUUAGUCUCUACCUUAACUUCUUCGUUCCACCACCAAAAUAACUAUAUAUAUACCAAUCAUGUUAUUCUAUGUCUUAGUUUGACCUGGCAUGAAGUUUAAGAAUGUAAAACUUAAGCUAGAGGUAUGUAUGCCAUACUAAUUUUUUAAUCUUCUGAUCUUAAACAUGUCAUGCUAUUCCUAUAAGACAGUGUGGAAUUAAUGCUAUAACGAAAAGUACGGUUAGCAACUUAUUAAAUUCAGAAAGAUACAUUUUUUUAAAAUAGAUUAAAAAAGAAAGUGAGACACAUAAAUUAAGAUAGAGGAGUAUUUGAUAAGACUGAUAUAUAUCUUUGUAUAAUAUGAGAAUCAAACAAUGAACAUACGAAAAAAUACAGCAACAUACUCAGUUACUACCUAGUGAGGUCAGGGGAGGGUAAAAUGUAUGAAAAAAUGAAAAAGGGUAUGCACUUCAAAUUAUUUAUAGCUCAUUUAGAAAAUAUUUGGCUAAAGUUGAAAAAUGCCUAAUUGAAAUUGAAAAAAAGAAAUAUCUGGAUAUUGAAACUUUGUUUGGACAUGAAUUUAACUUGGAAAAAGUUGAAUUUUGUAAGUGAAAAUCAUUAUUUCACUUUAAAUAAAUUAUAUAUAUGAUAUAUCAUUAAUUAUAUACAUCAUAUAAUAGUAUUUAGCAUUUUUUGGGCCUAAAGCAAGCUUUUUACUUUCUUUAGGCUUAUGUUGGCAAUGCCUUAGGGUAGUGUAUCACUUGCAUAAAAGAAAAUCACAAUGUUAUAAGCUAGAUAAGUGUAGACUUGCUGCAAAUGCCUUUCUAAAAUUUACCAAACAUUAAGGUCUAGAUAUCUGUUCAUACUUCAUAAUUCAGCAACUUAUACCCAACCACAUAUGAAUUUACACUCUUAAGUGACCACAACAUCUAAGUCCAAGGGAAGGAGACGUUUUGGCAAACCACAAGUUAGAAUAGAUAGCUUUCAUGUGUAUCCAUUCCCGAUGUAAACCUACUUUCCUAAUUAAGGUACAUCAAACCCUAAGCAGUCCUUUGGUUGUUGGUUAGAGAUAUGCAGGUAUCAAUAAUUGAUAUGCAGGUAUCAAUAAUAUGCAGGUAUCAAUAAUUUUGACCAAAUCCAAAUUGUAAAAAAAAAAAAAAAAAAUCGAGUCGGUUAACCAGCGAGUCCGAACUGAGUUUGGUCCAAACCGGGGCCCAAAUCAAAAAAUAACCCAGUCCGAGACCCUGUAUCCUACAACCCGUGGGCUAACCGGGCCAUGUUUGCUUAGUGGGCCGGGCUGAAUCGAGUCAGAUCGGUCAGCCCGGCACGUUUGACAGACUUACUUUUGGUUGAGCCUAUGUAAAAGUUCAAUUAACUACUGCUGAGUUUAAGGCUUUAUUUUAUUUUUAUUAAGAUUAAGAUGUUAGUAUCAGAAUUACAUUUAAAUAUUAAGAGGCGUACGAUUGAGAUUUAUAUGUUUGAAUCUGAUAAAAUACACAUAAUAUUAGGAUGUUGUAUUAAAAUCUCUAAAUACUAAUUAAUAAUCAAAACUAUUUGUUUUUUUGAACAUUUGAACAUUUUGGUGCGAUUGUUGUGGUAAUGUUGAUUGUGAUAAUUGUAAAUGGUAAUUAGUGGUUGUGGAUGGUGGUGGCUAGCGGCGAUAAUUGAUAAUGAUUGGUGAUGGCGGCAGGAAUAAAUAAAUGAAGUUAACUGUCAGUUUUAAUUUUAAGUAAAUAUCUUGAUGAUAUUAAGAUUUUAUUACAAAAUUUAAUCAUACAAAUAUAUUGAGACUCAUUAAGUGUUUAAACAGACUUAAUAACUGAAAUUGAAUCAUUAAGAUUAAUUAAGACCCUCGUUGACAUCUUGAAAACAGGAGUAUUCAAACGUGAAAGAAUUUGUUAUGUUAAAUGGUUGGAAAGUAAAACACGUACUGUAGAUUAAAGUAACAAUUAUUUUGUGGUAGUUCCUUUGCCUAGUACUCUCCAAGCUAGUUUGAAGAAAAUUAAAUAUUUUAAUACUACACAAGUUAGGUUAUACCCAAAUCCGCCUAUCUUUUUAAUUGCUACAAAAGAUAAUAUUAAUUUGUUUUGACAUUACUUAGUCAAAAGUACCACUAGGGGCAAUAUUAGUGAAAAAUAGUCACUAUAAAUUAAAUGAAGAAUUUAAAAGCAGAAAGAAAUCCUUCUCCAUUCUGUAUGCUGCCCAUUUUAGCAAAUCAGUUUACUAUCUGUGGAAGGUGUGGAAUCUUAGCUGUGGCGGAUUUAAGAUUUAGGGGUUGUGAUGCUUUGAAGGUUCAAAUACACAUAUUGACGUUUAAAGCUUUAAAAUUCUACUUGGAAAUCAAAAUAUCCAACUAUCUUCUUGGUUUCAAGGGUAUUUAAGAAAACCCUAUAUCAUUUUUUAUAAUUUCAUAUAUAAUUAUACUUAAUUUGUGUUUUGCGUCGUGUUUAAGGGUGCCUAAGUGCCACAAAAUAACACAUAGGUCCCUUGAAUCUCAGGAACUCGGUAAUUUACAUGCAUUUUUUAUAUUUAUUUUGAAAAAUAUAUCUAUCAAAUAUAUAAGAAAUAUUUGUUAGAACCUAUUAACAAAAUAAUCUCUAAAGUCCACCGGUAGAAAUGAAACUUGCUUUAGCUUUGUUACAUUCCAAUUGGUGAGAGUUCAAUUUCUCUUGUUCACAUUUUCGCCCAUCUCAAUGAUCUCUUGUACACAUAUAUAUAAUAUAGGAGUAGUUAUAUUUUAAUUUGAAAUUGCUGAAAACUCAUAUAAUUUAAAUCAUGGAACCGUCUGACUGUUUUUAAUCUCCUUUUAUGUCUGUUAGGUUUUAUUCUGCGUACUACUCUUCUUUUAUAUGGCAAAAAUGGUAUUAUAUGUACUAAUUAAAUCCAACGUAUUCCAUUAUAUAAAUUUUUGACGUACUGAUAAUCACAGUGAAAUUAAAUCACCAGUACUAUUGCCUCAGAAAAAUUAAAUAUAUAUUGGAAAAAUCAUGAGUAAAUGUUACAGUACAGUCAAUGAUAAAUUCAAAUGUAGGGUCUCAUUUUAUUAAAGCAAAAUACAUACACAGUAAUUAUUAUGAGCAUUUUGUAGACAAUGAAUGCAUUAAGAGUGUGUCCAGUAGGAAGGAAAAUAUUUUUUAAAAAAAUUGUUUUCCAGGAAACGUGAAAAAAGAAAAGGAAUAUGGUAGGUUCAUAUAAUAUAGCAUCGAUGUGUAUGAUAAGUAAAGAUAUAAUCAAGUUAACAUGAAAAGUCAGUGAAAUAGAGAUUCAUCCCACUAUUGUACAAAUUUAAGUCGUGACAUGAGAUUAUUUUAAAGCACAAGAAAAAGAUAUAAAUCUAGUUGAAGCUCAGGAACAAGAAAGUCAACUAGAUUAAUGUUUCUAACGACAAGAACAAUAACCACAUAUUCAGUAUAAUCUCACUUGAAUUUGAGACAAAUGAUGUGUAUGCAUAUCUUACCCCUACCUUACGAAGGUAGAGAGUAACUAGUAGAUUUUAAGUAUCCAACAAUGUCACUCAAUCCAUUCACAAAAUAGGUGGAAAAUAUGCAAUCCAAGCAAGGCUUUAAUUAGCACCACCAUAACAUAAUAGACAAAAUCCUCAAAUAUUAAGAUAAGAAAUACAGUUACAUCUUUGAAAUUACUCUGACCAUGUUCCAGCUCUACCAAAUAAUGAGCAUUUGAUAUCUUCAGAGAUGACUACUUACUCAAUCAACCUGAGAAAAGCAAAUAACAAGCAAAUGAACUCAAGAAUAUUUGAGAUACAAAAUACUAAGACACAAUUCAAUUAUAUAAUUAAAAGUGUACUAGUCUUUAUGAUAGUCUAAACUUUUGUUAAGAUUGACACAGUUCAACAUGGUAUGAGCAAGGGCAAAUCCAACUAUACAGCUCCAGGUCAUCUGAAUUCAGUACUCACAACAUUAGAAUAUAAAUUUAUGCGUAAAAAUGUAUCCAAAAUUCCAGUAGUUAAUAGGCUUGAACUCAUAAUAUAGGAAAAUACAACGGAUUCAAUGCUUAAAAUCUUAACGUUGAACUCAUAAAGCUUAUAUCCUGAAUCCGUCUCUAGCCAGACAUCAAAGUAAGCGACUAGGUAUUGUGUUCAAAUCUCACCGACACCUAAAAAGCAAGAAACUAUCUCCGCAUGUAAAAAAAGGCAGCCGAUGGACUAAAACUCCCACAAUACAUGAGGUUUAGGGAAGGGUCGUCAGAGCCACAAGGGCUAUUACAUGCGGCCUUACCCUGCUCUUCUGCAAGAGGCUGUUUCCACGGCUUGAACUCGUGACCUCCUGGUCAUGACAAUAACUUUAAUUUACUAGCUACUCCAACGAUCCCCAUCAAACUAUCUCCACGUGUGCUUCAGUUAAGUAAUUCAAGUCGUAUUUUCUCAGACAAUUUAAAUUAUUUUUAGAUGAGAUCAUCACACAUACUGUUCAAUUGAAAAAUCACAGGUAAAAUGAAUAAAUAUCCUAGUUAUAGUGGUUUAUUGACUGAAUAAAUACCCUAAUAAAUAAAUGAAACAAACCUUUUAAUAAAACCAUUAAUCAAUGGUGAUGAGAAUUAGGAGAAGCAGAGGAAGGGUCUUGAUGAUGUUCACCAUGGAUCCUAGCUGGAACUUGAAAAUCUGUAGUGAAAUGUCUGCUAUUAUUGGUAAUUUCUGCCUGAUGAAUUAGUCCAUUCAUUAAUGGCCUUUCUUCCCAAGUAGCAUGAUGAUUAAUCAUUUGUGAAAAAUUGGACUGAAGGGGUUCCCUUUGAGUAAAUGCACUUUGAGUAGUGAAAAAUGUUUGUGGCAAUAUGUUCCAACUUGCCAUUCUUGGAUAAUUUGCUUCAAAAUUUUGAUGAUUUGAGAAAAGGGCAUUUUGGUCAUUAUCAGAAGAAGUUGCCCUAUGAAAAGUAGUGUGAAGAGAUAAGCCAAGAUCUUCGUUUUGUAACGAAGAUCUUGGCAUUAUCUCAUGUGGGUAGUUUUGGAAAUUCAUUAGCGGAGUACCCGAAUUCAUUGGGAAAAAUGAUUUCAUAGUAUCUCCAAGUGAUUGUGGUGCUUCUCCGCCUGUAGAUGGCACUUGCAUCAUGUAGGAAUUAGAAGAAUUAACCUGAUGACUCGAGUUAUUUUCUUCUAAUUCCUUCUGAAGCUGAUAUUCCGACUGUUGUUGCCCCAACACUGCAUCAUCAGCUUCUUCUGUAGUACUUGGAACCUGAUUCGGGUUCCAAGGAGGCAACUCAUCUAACUUAUCAAUGGCAUUUUUCGCCUUUUUGAUAAGCCAAUCAACCGCCUUACUAGGCCGGUCAUAACCCAACCUGUCUUGCACAUCAUAAAAUUGAAUAGCAGUGUGAGCCGCUAAACGGACCCUUCUAUCUCUUGGUCCUUUCGCGGUAUAAACUUUGCUGUGCCGGUCUUUUCUACCAGUAGACCGGAGAAUAUGACCUCCUUCGACUUGUACUAUCUCUCCUCCUCCCGUUGCUCUCUUCAUUAUAAAUCUCUCUGCAUAGUCCUUCACCUUUUUAGUGCUGAAAUGAUUCGGAUGUAUAUUCAGAUUCAAACUAAACAAAAAUUUCAGCUUGCUAAUUUUCUCUUUUAUGAUUACCACAGGCACUUUAUAAAAUCUGAAAAUGAACCUGCUAGUGUUGCAGUAAUACUAGUGAUGAUAUCUGAUGACGCUGAUCCCGAGGAACACUGACAAGGUACGCUACAAAUCCCAUAGGCCUAAUGAAACUUCUUUGUCCAAAAUCUCAAAUAUCAAAGACAAAAAGUAAUAAAAAGAAACCUAAUUAAAGUUGAAAAUUUUGGAAUAGUGUUGCAAUAUUGAAAGUACUGGUAUUUAGUUUAGGUUUUACCUCUUAGCUAGGGUUAAGAUUUAUUUAUUUUUUUGAGAGAGAGAAGGGUGAAGGAGAAAGGAAAAUAAAAGAAUUUAAGUUUAUAAGGAUGAAAAUAAAAUGAAUGGAACAAUGGGGUUAUAGAGAAGGACUUUAUCUUUUUUGGCCUCUCAUGAUCAUGGAGUAGUAGUACUGAUUUGGACAGUUACAGCACGUCGACUUUACUUUUUCUUUUCUUUUCUUUGUAUUAUGCUUCCAUCAGUAUCAAUGUGGAAAAAUAAUACUAGGGGAAAAAUAAACGAUAUAUAAACAUAUGUUUUCUAUUAGCAAUGUAUAGGUUUGCUUUGGGUUGGAUAAAAUAUUUAGGUUCAAGUUUUGUGUGAAACUUAACUUGAGGGUGGUCCGUAUGAAGGAAAAUGUUCUCUUGGGAAACAAAUAAGUUUUUUAACUUAUUUUUUUGUUUUCAAUAUGUAAGUAAAAAAAAAUAUUUAAUAUAACAUAGACAAAUACUAUGGGAGGUGUCGAUAGGAGUAUGAGACGGUGAAGUCGUGAAGAUGGGGUUAUGGGGAUAGGAUGAAGAUGAUCAGGUGUGUUGAAGCGUGGAGGAUGAUACAAUUAAUGUAUUUCUUAAUAGUUUUAUAGAACCUCGCAAUGAAGAUUAUUUCAGCUCAAUCAUUGAUUCGAUAGCAAGUUCACAACCCAUAAUCUUCAAAUUUUAAUUUCGCUCUACCGCUAACAACUUUUAUCUAAAUGGAUAGUUUACUUUUUCUUUCUAGAUGAUAGUCUAUUGAUCAUUUAAUUUAGACUAUUCCUUAUCUAAAUGAAUAGUAUUUGUUGAAAUUCAUCAAGUAUCUAUGAACAUAUAGCGGUGGUACUAUGUUGCUAUGCUAAAAUUUAAUGCAGCAUGAUAAAUUUAUUCAAAUUGAUGACCAAAAUUCUCAUGAGACAUAUACCAUAUUUUUAGUAAGUUACAUGAAAUGAUCAUGGUUAAACUAGAAUUUAUGAUUUGCAGGAUCUUCUUAUGGAACUAUACAGAAAAAACUUUUUUCACUAAGAAAAUUUAUAUUUAGGGUAUUAAUUAAACUUUAAAAGAGUGAUGAGCUAAUUCAACUCUAAUGGUCCCAAUACAGCAAUAUAUAUAGACCCACCCUCAUUGAAACAUGAUAGUGAUUCUAACAGCUUUUUGAUUCCCAUCUGAAAGUUUCACAUUCGGGUAAAACACUCUUUAACAAAUGCGAUUCCACAUGCAGCAGGGUUCAAAACUAAGUUUUUUGAUUAUGAAUAACAAAAUAUUUAUCACUCUACUACAAUCAUUGUUAAUAACUUUUGUAUACUAUAUAUUAUCAGUUAAUAAAUCCAACCAUAUAUUACUAACUAUGAACAGUUUUAACUAAUUAAAUUUAAAGCUUCUGAUUGCCAUCAAUUUAACGAAGGAAUAUGAUUGUUCUCAAUUUUAAUUAACAUAUAACAUAUAUUGUUUCUAUGUUUACUUUUAGAGAGAGCUAACUCCUUUUUAUAUUUAUGGUUUCAAUUUUCAACCUUUUCUUUGACAAGACAAAGAAAGUUGGACUUUACCUUAAAAAGGGAAAAAUAAUGAACGAAAAAUCAAUAAUUUCUGGAAUGAACUCAACAACAUCUAUUGCAAAAUACGAACAAAUUGCAAUACAAACAAAUCUUAGAAACAUAUGUGAAUGUCAUUCAAAGCGACGCUAAAUUGACUUAAACCAGCAAUUACCAAAUUAGCCUUGUUAAUAUGGGCAAUACAGAUCAUCCAGUUGUUGAUUAAGAGUUGACCAAUGUGUUGCCAUUUCAAUAAGGCACAAUUCUUUCUCUUCACAGCACAUGAACUCCACUACACUAGGCUAUCUCAAUAAAAUGAGUGACGUAAAGCCAAAUUUCAACCCGAGAUCUUUAAAAAUAAAUAUAUACAUGAUAAAUUAAAAAAUUAAUGUUAUUUUUCUUGUUUGUAGUUAGUAUUAUAUUUCACAUAGUAAUAUUAUUAUUUAUAAUAUUAAGGAUUGAUUCAAGUUAAUAAAACGUUAACCAUGCGUUGUUAAUACAUACGUUGGAUGUUAUUGUAAAUAUAGUAUUUAUUAUUACAAAGAUUUGAGUAGUUUAAUUCAAAGUUUCAAAAUAUUUUUACUGAAUGAUGAUAGUUUUUUUUUAUUAUUAUAUUCAAUAUUGUAAAAAAGAAAAAAAUCAUAAAAUUAACAAUUAAAUUUUUUUCAGAUCUUUAGAUUUUGAGAGCCUAAAACAAAAGUUUUACUAGUCACUAUAAUUUCCCUUUCUUAUCUAACUUGCAUUCCCCCUUUUUCACAAUUUAUUGCCUUACCGUUUCAAACGAAAAAUUAUGAUUUAAUUUGUGCACCUUGUACGCUGUCAGAUCAUUUUAAACAAUAUAAAAAAAUAAGCAUUUAAUCAUUCUUAAAAAGAAAGGAUACAUGACGGUGUACAUCCUAUUUUUACGAUGAUACUAAGGGACCAUGCCAUCAUACUUCUUAAUUGUACUUAAAAAGGAAAAAAAAAAAAGAUACAUUACCUAUUUAUAAUAUAUAAAAUAAUGAUAUAUAUAUAAUCUAUAUCUAUAUCUAUAUUUAUAAUAUAUUAAAAGUGUCAAGGGCCUUAAUAGAGAUUAGUUAUAAACGGACUUAGACUGCCAGCACUAUAUACAUAUGCCAGUAAAUUGAGACAAUGCCCAAUUUAAAAAAGACCAAGAGAGAGAGAGAGAAGCAACUGAAGCCAAACUAACAGCUGAGCUUCACCA
rnacentral:lncRNA from 1 species